GAUGAACGCUGGCGGCGUGCCUAAUACAUGCAAGUCGAGCGAACAUACUAGGAGCUUGCUCCUCUGUCGUUAGCGGCGGACGUGUGAUUAACACGUGGAUAACCUACCUAUAAGACUUGGAUAACUUCGUGAAACCGGAGCUAAUACCGGAUAAUAUAUUGAACCGCAUGGUUCUAUAGUCAAAGACGGUUUUGCUGUCCCUUAUAGAUGGAUCCCCGCCGCAUUAGCUAGUUGGUAAGGUAACGGCUUACAAAGUCAAAGAUGCGUAGCCGACCGUAGAGGGGGAACGGCCACACUGGAACGGAGACACGGUCCAGACUCCUACGGGAGGCAGCAGUAGGGAAUCUUCCGCAAUGGGCGAAAGCUUGAAGGAGCAACGCCGAGUGAGUGAUGAAGGUCUUCGGAUCGUAAAACUCUGUUAUUAGGGAAGAACAAAUGUGUAAGUAACUAUGCACGUCUUGACGGUACCUAAUCAGAAAGCCACGGCUAACUACGUG
rnacentral:rRNA from 1 species